rnacentral:rRNA from 1 species
UAGGGAAUCUUCGGCAAUGGGGGGAACCCUGACCGAGCAACGCCGCGUGAGUGAAGAAGGUUUUCGGAUCGUAAAGCUCUGUUGUUAAGGAAGAACGAGUGUGAGAAUGGAAAGUUCAUACUGUGACGGUACUUAACCAGAAAGGGACGGCUAACUACGUGCCAGCAGCAGCGGUAAUACGUAGGUCCCGAGCGUUAUCCGGAUUUAUUGGGCGUAAAGCGAGCGCAGGCGGUUAGAUAAGUCUGAAGUUAAAGGCAGUGGCUCAACCAUUGUAGGCUUUGGAAACUGUUUAACUUGAGUGAAGAAGGGGAGAGUGGAAUUCCAUGUGUAGCGGUGAAAUGCGUAGAUAUAUGGAGGAACACCGGUGGCGAAAGCGGCUCUCUGGUCUGUAACUGACGCUGAGGCUCGAAAGCGUGGGGAGCGAGCAGG